UACAGAGGGGGCAAGCGUUGUUCGGAAUUACUGGGCGUAAAGGGCGCGUAGGCGGCCUGUUAAGUCGAACGUGAAAUCCCCGGGCUCAACCCGGGAACUGCGUCCGAUACUGGCAGGCUUGAAUCCGGGAGAGGGAUGCGGAAUUCCAGGGUGUAGCGGUGAAAUGCGUAGAGAUCUCCAAGAACACCAGUUGCGAAGGCGGCCGACUGGACACAUAUUGACGCUGAGGCUCGAAAGCAUGGGGAGCAAACAGG
rnacentral:rRNA from 1 species